GCCCCUUAAUGCCGUCACCCGCGCGCCUUGCGUCCGGCGCGCCUGGGUGGAGGCGGGACUUCCGGGCGCGCGGAGGCGGGACUUCCGGGAGCAGGCGGAAGAGCCUCUGGGCGCUGGGCUCGGGCGUCCGGGGGCCGCUGAGGGGCCGCUCGGGGUGCAGGAAAGGGCCACCGGGCCUGGCCGGCCCCGCUCGAGGUGUCGGGCCGCGGGCCUGAGGGAGGAGGAGGGGCCGUGGCCGGCGACGGGGCCCGGAAGUGGUUCUGGAGGCGCAGCAACGGCGAAGUCCCGGGCAGCAUCCAGCAUGUGUACGGCGCCCAGCACCCCCCCUUCGACCCACUGUUACACGGCACCUUGCUCAAGGGUGCGCCCAAGGCGCCUGCCACACCCAUGAAGGCCAAGAGCCUCAGCACUUCCCGGAGUUUGAGAGCAACACCAGCGACGCCUGGGAUGCUGGCGAGGACGAUGACGGGCUCCUGGCCGUGGCAGCCGAGAGCCUGAACACCGACGUGGUCAUGGAGACAGCCCACCACGUCCUGCGCAACCACAGCCAGCGGCAGGAGCGCCGCAAGCCGCAGGAGGCGCCGGGCCCCGAGCAGGAGCCACAGCCUUCGGCAGAGCCUCCUUCGGUCCCGAGCGGUGACCUCGGCUGGUGAAGUCCGUCAGCGAGAGCCACACAUCCUGUCCUGCAGGUGGGCGGGGGCGCGAGGAGAUGACGGGCAGUGCUGCGAGGGAGAGGGGCUGGAGGCCUCUCGGUGUGGGGGGUUAGCGGGCGUUCCGUCCUCUUUGCCACAGGAGCUC